CCUACGGGUGGCAGCAGUGGGGAAUAUUGGGCAAUGGGCGCAAGCCUGACCCAGCAACGCCGCGUGAAGGAAGAAGGCCCUCGGGUUGUAAACUUCUUUUAUUCGGGACGAAACAAAUCACGGUACCGAAUGAAUAAGUCACGGCUAACUACGUGCCAGCAGCCGCGUUAAUACGUAGGUGGCAAGCUUUACCCGGAUUUACUGGGGGUAAAGGGCGUGUAGGCGGGAGGGCAAGUCAGACGUGAAAUUCCAGGGCUCAACCAUGGAACUGCGUUUGAAACUGGUAUUCUUGAGUGAGGGAGAGGCAGGCGGAAUUCCGUGUGUAGCGGUGAAAUGCGUAGAUAUACGGAGGAACACCAGUGGCGAAGGCGGCCUGCUGGACAAUAACUGACGCUGAGGCGCGAAAGCGUGGGGAGCAAACAGGAUUAGAUACCCGUGUAGUC
rnacentral:rRNA from 1 species